rnacentral:rRNA from 1 species
GACGAACGCUGGCGGCGUGCUUAACACAUGCAAGUCGAACGAUGAUGCUGGAGCUUGCUCCAGUUGAUUAGUGGCGAACGGGUGAGUAACACGUGAGCAAUCUGCCCUUGACUCUGGGAUAACUGCGGGAAACUGUAGCUAAUACCGGAUACUUUCACCGGAAGGCAUCUUCUGGUGAUGAAAGAAUUUGGGUCAGGGAGGAGCUCGCGGCCUAUCAGCUUGAUGGUGGGGUAACGGCUCACCAAGGCGACGACGGGUAGCCGGCCUGAGAGGGUGACCGGCCACACUGGGACUGAGACACGGCCCAGACUCCUACGGGAGGCAGCAGUGGGGAAUAUUGCACAAUGGGCGCAAGCCUGAUGCAGGAACGCCGCGUGAGGGAUGAAGGCCUUCGGGUUGUAAACCUCUUUUAGCAGGGAAGAAGCGAAAGUGACGGUACCUGCAGAAAAAGCACCGGCUAACUACGUGCCAGCAGCAGCCGCAG